rnacentral:rRNA from 1 species
AGGGGCAUCUUUAUCUAGCAAUAGAGAGAUGGCGACCGGCGCACGGGUGAGUAACACGUAUCCAACCUGCCGAUAACUCGGGGAUAGCCUUUCGAAAGAAAGAUUAAUACCGGAUAGUAUAGCAAUACCUCAUGGUUUUGCUAUUAAAGAAUUUCGGUUAUCGAUGGGGAUGCGUUCCAUUAGUUUGUUGGCGGGGUAACGGCCCACCAAGACUACGAUGGAUAGGGGUUCUGAGAGGAAGGUCCCCCACAUUGGAACUGAGACACGGUCCAAACUCCUACGGGAGGCAGCAGUGAGGAAUAUUGGUCAAUGGACGAGAGUCUGAACCAGCCAAGUAGCGUGAAGGAUGAAGGCUCUAUGGGUCGUAAACUUCUUUUAUAUGGGAAUAAAGUGAUCCACGUGUGGAAUUUUGUAUGUACCAUAUGAAUAAGGAUCGGCUAACUCCGUGCCAGCAGCCGCGGUAAUACGGAGGAUCCGAGCGUUAUCCGGAUUUAUUGGGUUUAAAAGAGCGUAGGUGGGUUGUUAAGUCAGUUGUGGGAGUUUGCGGCUCAACCGUAGAAUUGCAGUUAUACUG